AAGACUCUAGUAAAAAAAUUACUCUGCCUUGUCAAGGCCGCAUUGCAAGUUAAACUCUUGCGUGUCUUU
rnacentral:tRNA from 1 species